rnacentral:rRNA from 1 species
GAUGAACGCUGGCGGCGUGCCUAAUACAUGCAAGUCGAGCGAACGGACGAGAAGCUUGCUUCUCUGAUGUUAGCGGCGGACGGGAGAGUAACACGUGGAUAACCUACCUAUAAGACUGGGAUAACUUCGGGAAACCGUAGCUAAUACCGGAUAAUAUUUUGAACCGCAUGGUUCAAAAGUGAAAGACGGUCUUGCUGUCACUUAUCGCUGGAUCCGCGCUGCAUUAGCUAGUUGGUAAGGUAACGGCUUACCAAGGCAACGAUGCAUAGCCGACCUGAGAGGCGGAUCGCCCGCACUGGAGCGUAGACACGGUCCAUACGCCUACGGGAGGCAGCAGUAGGGAAUCGUCCGCAAUGGGCGAAAGCCUGACGGAGCGGCGCCGCGUGAGUGAUGAAGGUCUUCGGAUCGUAAAACUCUGUUAUUAGUGAUGAACAGAUGUGUAAGUAACUGUGCACAUCUUGACGGUACCUAAUCAGGAAGCCACGGCUAACUACGUG